AUACGGAGGGGGCUAGCGUUGUUCGGAAUUACUGGGCGUAAAGCGUACGCAGGCUGACCAUUAAGUUAGAGGUGAAAUCCCGGGGCUCAACCCCGGAACUGCCUUUAAAACUGCUGGUCUGGAGUUAUGGAGAGGUAAGUGGAAUUCCUAGUGUAGAGGUGUAAUUCGUAGAUAUUAGGAGGAACACCAGAGGCGAAGGCGGCUUACUGGACAUAUACUGACGCUGAGGUACGAAAGUGUGGGGAGCGAACGGGAUUAGAAACCCUAGUAGUCC
rnacentral:rRNA from 1 species